rnacentral:rRNA from 1 species
CCAGCCAUGCCGCGUGAGUGAUGAAGGCCUUAGGGUCGUAAAGCUCUUUCGCCUGUGAAGAUAAUGACUGUAGCAGGUAAAGAAACCCCGGCUAACUCCGUGCCAGCAGCCGCGGUAAUACGGAGGGGGUUAGCGUUGUUCGGAAUUACUGGGCGUAAAGCGCGCGUAGGCGGACUGGAAAGUUGGGGGUGAAAUCCCAGGGCUCAACCCUGGAACUGCCUCCAAAACUAUCAGUCUAGAGUUCGAGAGAGGUGAGUGGAAUUCCGAGUGUAGAGGUGAAAUUCGUAGAUAUUCGGAGGAACACCAGUGGCGAAGGCGGCUCACUGGCUCGAUACUGACGCUGAGGUGCGAAAGUGUGGGGAGCAAACAGGAUUAGAUACCCUGGUAGUCCACACCGUAAACGAUGAAGGCCAGUCGUCGGGUAGCAUGCUAUUCGGUGACACACCUAACGGAUUAAGCAUUCCGCC